UACAGAGGGGGCAAGCGUUAUUCGGAAUUAUUGGGCGUAAAGGGCGCGUAGGCGGCUUUGCAAGUGGCGGGUGAAAUCCCUCGGCUUAACCGAGGAACUGCCUGUCAAACUGCAUGGCUUGAGACCAGGAGAGGUGAGUGGAAUUCCCAGUGUAGCGGUGAAAUGCGUAGAUAUUGGGAGGAACACCGGUGGCGAAGGCGGAUCUCUGGGCCUGUCCUGACGCUCAGGCGCGAAAGCUAGGGGAGCAAACAGG
rnacentral:rRNA from 1 species